ensembl:snRNA U6 U6 spliceosomal RNA
GUGCUCACUUUAGCAGCACAUACACUAAAAUGGGAGUGAUGCAGAGAUUACUGUGGCCUCUGCAUAAGGAUAACACCCAAAUUUGUGAGUGUUUUGUAUUUUUC